GACGAACGCUGGCGGCGUGCCUAAUACAUGCAAGUCGAGCGGGGUURNUUAGAAGCUUGCUUCUAAYYAACCUAGCGGCGGACGGGUGAGUAACACGUAGGCAACCUGCCCACAAGACAGGGAUAACUACCGGAAACGGUAGCUAAUACCCGAUACAUCCUUUUYCUGCAUGGGAGAAGGAGGAAAGGCGGAGCAAUCUGUCACUUGUGGAUGGGCCUGCGGCGCAUUAGCUAGUUGGUGGGGUAAAGGCCUACCAAGGCGACGAUGCGUAGCCGACCUGAGAGGGUGAUCGGCCACACUGGGACUGAGACACGGCCCAGACUCCUACGGGAGGCAGCAGUAGGGAAUCUUCCGCAAUGGGCGAAAGCCUGACGGAGCAACGCCGCGUGAGUGAUGAAGGUUUUCGGAUCGUAAAGCUCUGUUGCCAGGGAAGAACG
rnacentral:rRNA from 1 species